AAUGAACGCUGGCGGCAUGCCUUACACAUGCAAGUCGAACGGCAGCAUGACCUAGCUUGCUAGGUUGAUGGCGAGUGGCGAACGGGUGAGUAAUGCAUCGGAACGUGCCUUUUAGUGGGGGAUAACGUAGCGAAAGUUACGCUAAUACCGCAUAUUCUCUGAGGAGGAAAGCAGGGGACCUUCGGGCCUUGCGCUAGAAGAGCGGCCGAUGUCGGAUUAGCUAGUUGGUGAGGUAAAGGCUCACCAAGGCAACGAUCCGUAGCGGGUCUGAGAGGAUGAUCCGCCACACUGGGACUGAGACACGGCCCAGACUCCUACGGGAGGCAGCAGUGGGGAAUUUUGGACAAUGGGCGCAAGCCUGAUCCAGCCAUGCCGCGUGAGUGAAGAAGGCCUUCGGGUUGUAAAGCUCUUUCGGCUGGGAAGAAAUCGCACCCUCUAAUACAGGGUGUGGAUGACGGUACCAGCACAAGAAGCACCGGCUAACUACGUG
rnacentral:rRNA from 1 species